AUUGAACGCUAGCGGGAUGCUUUACACAUGCAAGUCGAACGAGUGGCGGACGGGUGAGUAAUAUAUCGGAACGUGCCCAGUAGCGGGGUAUAACUACUCGAAAGUGUGGCUAAUACCGCAUAGUAUUGGAGCGGCCGAUAUCGGAUUAGCUAGGUGGUGGGGUAAAGGCUCACCAAGGCCACGAUCCGUAGCUGGUUUGAGAGGAGGACCAGCCACACUGGGACUGAGACACGGCCCAGACUCCUACGGGAGGCAGCAGUGGGGAAUUUUGGACAAUGGGGGAAACCCUGAUCCAGCCAUCCCGCGUGUAUGAGAAGGCCUUCGGGUUGUAAAGGGCUUUUGGGAGGGAAGCGGGAUCUGCAGAAUAAGCACCGGCUAACUACGUGCCAGCAGCCGCGGUAAUAC
rnacentral:rRNA from 1 species